GGGAUAUGCAAAUGCGUGCGUCCUCCUCAGAGCUGCAGCUGUAAGCUCGAGCUCACGCGCUGGACAGAGCACUCACAUCCACUCCUGCUUUAGUGUUCUGCUACUGCUGCCCUGCCGCUCAGUCUUUCCUCUUUACUUUCUCCUCUGUCUGUCUGUCUGUCUGUCUGUCUCUCUCUCUCAUGUGAGUGGUACAGUGGGCAGGAUGGUGCCAGAACAGCAGAUGUUUCGAUUGCAGCACUGCUUGCCCGCCAACAACUGAAGUCAGUGCUCCAGAGAAACCUUGUGGGACUCAGCAAGGAAAACAAGCAACACUUCACAACCUCUGGACUCUAAAGCCCAGCUGAUUUUACCCCCCAUCCUCCCUAGCUUUUGCUUUCUAUACACUUUCUCUGUGCUCUUCCACUGGAUUUUUCUGCAAGUGCUUUUGUCAACCUUUGCUCUGCUACUUAAAGAUGAGGGGGACAUUCGCAUACGGAGGUCUUCUGUUAGUUAUGUUGCUACUGACUUCAGCGGAUGCCAAAGGAAAUCUCCAUGGAAGUUCAUACAGAUACAACCUACACAAGUCUGGGAGCAUCCCGCAGUACACCCCUGGAAAACCAACGGGCCAUCAUAAUCAUUCCGGAGCAAUUUGAAUCCGGCUCAAAGAUAAGAAGUUGGCAUGUUGAGAAAAUUCACAACACAGACGUGCUGGCAUAGGAAUUCUGAAAUGCCAGUGGUAUCAAAUGCAGAUUGCAAAUGUUGGCAGUGCUGUUGUAUCUGCCUCAUCUGUCCUCUGUGACCCAUGUUCUGAACAGCUUCUGCUACCACACAAACCGGUUGUGUAUCUGAACAAGUUCAUGUUUGGUCACUCCAGGAAAUCACAGCAUCUCUGGCAUGCUCCUGUUGCAAUGGUAUACAGCAUGAUUAAACUGCCUUCUAAGAUAACUUCUUUCGCCCACAAUGUAAGGCAGCAUCUGUCUUCAAGGAGAAGGCAAUGCCAGAAUGCAUUGCAAUGAGCUCAGUGAAGAUAUUCCAUCCAGUAUUGGACAAACAAAGGGAAAUGUUCUGUGCUUUGACAACCCUUGUGAAAUACACUUUAGCAUACAUUUAAAAAGAGUAGCUAUGAUGGAAGGAAUAUACUAAGUGAAUACACUUACACAAUAUUUAAAUAAUUACACAAUAUCAAUAAUUACGAUUACACAAUACACACUAAAGAAUACACUUCAGUGCAAAAUAAAUCUCAUGUUUACAAACACUUAAUUGCAUGUUAUUUACAAUGAAAUGAAACAUUGUUAUAGUUUAAAUUUAUAUUAAAUGUGAUUUGUUUGACCUACUUAAGUAGGACUUACUUACAUCAUCUUUGAAAUAUGGUUAAAGCGUACCACCAAAUGUACUGACAUGCAUUUGGGGUAAAUUAAAAUUAACUUG
ensembl:lncRNA